GUGAGAGAAAUGCCCUCAGACGGACGAUUUUAAUCACAAUGUUCAUCAAUUUGUCUGUUCGUGUUUAGACUGAACAAUAAUAAACUGGGGGAUUCAGGAGUGAAACUGGUGUCUGCGGCUCUGAGGAACCCGGAGUGUAAAAUACAGAGACUGUGGCUGGGGGAUGUCGGUCUCACAGAUUCUGGUGCCGAGGAUCUCGUCUCCGCUCUCAGUACAAACCCAUCACUGACGGAUCUGAACCUGAGUGUUAAUGAACUGGGAGAUUCAGGAGUGAAACUGGUGUCUGCGGCUCUGAGGAACCCGGAGUGUAAAAUACAGAGACUGUGGCUGAGGGAUGUCGGUCUCACAGAUUCUGGUGCCGAGGAUCUCGUCUCCGCUCUCAGUACAAACCCAUCACUGACGGAUCUGGACCUGAGUGGUAAUAAACUG